rnacentral:misc_RNA from 1 species
CGAGGACCUGCUCCAAUCGCUUCCUUGCUUCCCGAACGACCUCAGGAUUCUUGUUCGCCGUCAAGAUUUCGGCCAGCUUCAACUGGGCGGUCACGUGCUCGGGAUCGAGCUCGGUAGCCUUGAC